CAGCAGCCGCGGUAAUACGGGGGGGGCAAGCGUUGUCCGGAAUUAUUGGGCGUAAAGGGCGCGUAGGCGGGAAAUUUAGUCUGAGGUGAAAGUUUGCGGCUUAACCGUAAAAUUGCCUUUGAUACUGGUUUUCUUGAGUUCGGAAGAGGGAAGUGGAAUUCCUGGUGUAGCGGUGAAAUGCGUAGAUAUCAGGAAGAACACCGGUGGCGAAGGCGGCUUCCUGGUCCGAUACUGACGCUGAUGCGCGAAAGCGUGGGGAGCAAACAGGAUUAGAUACCCUGGUAGUCCACGCUGUAAACGAUGGGUACUAGGUGUUGGGGGUUUCUCCAGCGCCGGAGCUAACGCAUUAAGUACCCCGCCUGGGGAGUACGACCGCAAGGUUGAAACUCAAAGGAAUUGACGGGGGCCCGCACAAGCGGUGGAACAUGUGGUUUAAUUCGAUGCAACGCGAAGAACCUUACCUUGGCUUGAACUGCCAUCUGACCCAUUCUGAAAGGGAAUCUUUCCUUCGGGAACAGGUUUACAGGU
rnacentral:rRNA from 1 species